rfam:Lactobacillus sp. wkB8, complete genome.
AAAAUAAUAUCGGGGUGCCGUAUAGGCUGAGAAUAUACCCGUUGAACCUGCUAUGGAUAAUGCCAGCGAAGGGAAAACGAAAGAUUUUACG